UGCUUAGUUUGGUGGUUCCUUGAGCUUUUCUAUUCGGUAUAUGUGAUGUGGGGCUUGGUUUCCUGACCUUUCGCUCCCACAUGCACCCUCUCCAAAGUAUAUGAUAAUUAGAGGAGAAAGCUGGCUGCCUAACUUUGUGGUCGCUUUAGCAGUCGCGGGGAAUCUUUAAAUAUGUAAAUUGAGGGCGACUGGAAACAAAGCUAGAUUGGCCCCUCUAAAUUUCUUGGCUUUCUUUUUCCAUGAAUCAAUUCAUAAGCCAAUAUACUGUAAAAUUGGCAUCAAUCGUUUUCCCUUAGCUGGAACUACACAGCCCAGGUCCUCUUGCAACCGAUUUCCAUUCCUUUUCACAGCCCGAACGACGACGAAUUAAAUCGUUUUCGAAACGUAGCUGAGGGACCAACAGACAUGGUUGACGGGGACAUAAGGCAGUUCGAUGGCUUUCGCAAGUCACAACUGUGGUCAGAACCGAGUGCUGUGCAGGAGAGGCUAUGGAAUGGAAGGAUUUCUGCUGUAUUGGUGAUUACAAAGAGACUGGAAAUUAGGUUAGUUUGUCUCUCUCUCUGCUUUUUUCAGCCUUCGGCCCUUUUUUGUUGCCUUAGAAAGAAAAAAACAAACGCGGAUCUCAGCCUUUCUGCAAGGCCUAAAAAGCUAGAGCCCUCGUGAUGAUUUUGGCUUUCGACACCAAAGUAGUGUAUUGCAUUUACAAAAAAGAAAACGAGAUAUAAAAAUGUCUUGGGUUUCCACAUGUUGCAGCUGGUGUGCGUCCCAAUAUAUACUAUUCGUUGACGCAGGAGAUUCCUUAAUUUCAUGGGGGCAAAGACAAGAGGAAGCGAACUGCAAAUUUAGUACUAACGGUGGAUCGAUUUUUUAUUCAAGUAUCCAAUUAACCUGUAAUUUAUCUAUUUGAGUUGAGUUGCUUGUUUUUAAUUUAUAUUUUUUCUCAUCUGUCUUCGUAUCAAGAACCUGUAUGGCAACAUGUUGCCCUACAGGUGAAACAUGUGUUUCGGAUA